GAAACCAGUUCUUCAGUUUCAAACUAUUUCUUGGAAGAAGAAAUGUUGCAGAACAAGAAGGAAGACAUUGUUCUGGGAAGGGACCCACAUGCUGUCAUUCAUGGCCCAAGACACAUGGGAUGUUCUGGUUCUCUCUCUGGACAGCUGUGGCCCUAUGCCUGCUUGCAGCUCCCACCUCUCUUGCCGAGAAGCAGUCAGCCAUGGGAACAACAGCCUCGUGGUCUCAUCACCCACUCUUCCCCUGCAAAUUCCUGCUUGCUGGGCUGGUAAUGUAUGGAGCCAUUCUGUCCCCUCUCCUACUUAUACCCGUGCUGUUCACUGGUGCCCAAGCCUUCAUGUCCUUGGAAGGAAACAGAAAGCAAACCUUGCCCUCCUUGAACUGCAAAAGCAGAAUCUAUUAACCACUGCAGCAAACAGCAAUACACUGGAGAGACAGACUUUUGUAUAGGGGAAGAUACUUGGACGUAUUAAUGCAAAGUCAAAAGUAUGGGUCUUUGACACUUUCAUUUAUUAUUAUAUUUCUUGACCCAGAUCUUCAGAGAAACCAUUUUGGAAUUUAUAAAGGAUUUUGGACUGCUUCCAGCCACUUUCUGUUCCUAGUUAGUCCCAUGCUGGGUCAUAUUAUAUUGAAUGUCUGCCAUCUUACUAAUUUCUCUUUCUGCUCCUUCCAGCUCCUUUUCCUCUUCCAGGUUACUGCAAAGAUUCCAUGGUAAAAUUCUCCCUGGUCUCCCCUUCUUCCUGUCUACUUUUCAUCCAACAUAAUCCCAUCUUCCUACACAAAAUCAGGUGACAUCCCUGUGGGUAUCUUGGACUCCCAUCUCUUUGCCAGAGCUUUCUGUCCAAAUCUCAACACCUCAUUCUGCAGCAAUUCCCGGAUGAUAGCAAGUAAAACUGGGUGUGCCAGCAGAGUGCAGUGGCUAUUGCCAGCUAGGCUGUGCAAAGCCAGCUCAGUGCUUUAGUGUUUCCCCUGGUUCAGUCUGUAAUAAUAUAGUACAGAAUCCUGAAUGCUUUAGAAAACUUUUUUUUUUUCCUUUUGGUCUUCUCAGCAGCAUUAGUAACACCAAUAGAACAAUUUCCCUAGGAAAAAAUGUAAAGUUAUGAACUCUGGAUUUAAACAAGAUGCAUUUAUAUUAAGUAGGAAAGAGAAGGCCUUUGUUUGAACACAACAAUCAAGCCUAAAGAAAAAAGAAGUAUGCUUGGCCAAAUUUUUCAGCUUCAUUUUCUGUCCGUAAGCUAGUGGUAAAAGAAUUUUUCUUGCUGAGCUUAAAGCUUGCACUGUAUUUAGAUAUGCUCCAUUACCUAAUGGCACAAAGGAUUUGUUUUUCUCAGUAUAUAAUUGAAUUCACGCUUCUGUUGUGAAUUCCUUUGAACAUUAGGAGGAAUGGCACAAGGAACUGUGUCCUUUGGAAAGAAGGAAUGGUGGAAAACAGGAAAUGCUGAUUAUGACAAUCCAUGGGAGUCUGUCUAGCUAUACUGCAGCAUAAAUUCAGUUCAAUACUUAUCAAAAAGCAAUAUAUCUGCACAGUCCUACUAUGCAGCCAAGUUUAGAUUACUUCUUGAUAACUUUUCUAAUGGAUUCAGCUGUGCGUGACAAAAAGCUUGCACCUGAAACUCGAUUCAAGUACUUUCACUGUUAAAAAACAUGCUAUUGUUAGGUUUAGUUAUGGUGGUUUUAUUUUGUUUCUGUAAAGGCAGAGGUACAUUUGUCUGAUCUUCUGAAGGGGAAUCAUAUCUGUCUCCACCUCAAGGUCAAAGAUCAAUUUGUCAAUUCUUGAAAUAUUUCCUGAAAUAUAUUUUUAAUAUAUUAAAGCCAAUAACCUUAAGCAAAAACAUGGAGGAGAGAAUGUUUGAUGUGAACCCCCCCCCCCCCAACCACCACAAAAUGCUGUAGAUGAGUAAAAUUAGUGUGGGUUCCAGAGUGACUAGACAACUUAAAGAAAGAUGAAUCCAUUGGGGGCUAUUCAAUGCAAAAUCACCGUAUCUGGUUCAGGAGUCCUCUGAACCACAAAUUGCUGUGUGCUUGGUAGAUAUUCUGGGAACAACAUGAUGCACUUGCUCUGUUCCUAAUCCUUUUCUAGGCAUUUACUGCUACCCACUGCUAGAGCCUGGGCUGCGCUGAUGUUGCUGGAAUUUGUGUCCCUAUGUUUUGAAAUAUUUCUGUGGAUUAUUUCACAUUUCUUCACAGGAGAGGUGGGAAAAAGAGAGACAUCAAAUGAUAACUCAGAAAAGAAGGUGAAUAGAGGUCACAAAAUUGUAAGAGAAGAAAGUCGUAAAUAUUGUCAUAGUUUCCCACUCUCCUUCUAUAACAUAGUUAUGAUGUGGGGAAAGGCUAAAAGCCACAUUUGGAUACACUGUGUGUAACCUGAUGAAUCUUAAAAAAGUGAAGAUCUUGUUGCGAGUUCUGAUCCUCUUCCAGUCCAAACAGUCUGCCUUAGAGCCAAAAGAAAACAGUGUGGUCAGUCUCCCUUGCUCUCUUCACAUUCCCUAGUGCUGCUAAAUGGGUAAUUUUAAAAGGCACAUGUUAUUCUAGGCAGUCAUGCUUUAGUUAAUCCAUUUAGGAAUAGAGAACCUGUUCCCUGCCUUCCAACUUUCAAAUAACUCUCUUUUCUUGAUCAUUUUUGUGGUAUCCCUGUGUGGUCAUGAAAGUAUUUUGGUCCCUGUUAACUCAAACCUGUUGUUUCCGCCCUUUGUCUGCUAAACCAUCAUUUUUUCGGUUCUCUUUCAUGAGUUACGAGUUCCUCACCCUGUUGUUCCCUCAUCUGGUGAAAGCAAGGACAGAAACUCUAGCCUUGUUUUCACAGAGUAGUGUGGAUUAAGACCUAAAGUCUGGGAAACAGUUGAAUUAGUUGGCAGUUAUUGACUGCUCACUGACAUGCAGGAUAAAUCAUAUUAUGAUUACAGAGGCAGUUUGGAUCUGACCAGGCUCAGUAGUUUGGUUAGUGUUAGUAGUAGCUUGGUCAGUUAGAUAGCUAUACUAUAUCUAAAGUAAGUUUGCCACUGAAGAAGCUCAGCCAAUUUUGUACAUUCUGUACACUGAACUACUUAGUCCCAUCAGAAUGAAGCUUGCUCUGAACAGAGGCAACUUGGGUGUCCAAGCACCCCAUGGCCCAAUGUGGCUUUGCACAAAGCCAGCUUCAGUUUAGCAAGUCUGGCAGUAAGUUUGAGGUACUAAGUCCAGCUGAGCUAACUCCUGCAGAGCCCUGACUGCAACUGCACUGUGCUUCUCAGCCAGCUCUGAGAAUCCCUGCAAUGUGGAACACGGACAAAAGGCCCCAGCUGUGUGGUCCUGAAGGAAUCAGCAUGCUCCAGAAGGACAUAUUAGCACUAAUGUGGCACCAGCCAUCCUGGCUGACUUCACAGCAAACCAUUCAAAUGCCUUGGCACCAAGUUGCUCUGUACCAUAUUGCCUGCAAUUUUCAUUAGCUAGGUUAUUUCAGGCCUUUAUUCCUGUUCUUCUCUCCUGCAGCUCUGGAUACUGGCAAGUUGGCCGCAGCAUGAAAGCAAUGAUUUUGCCAUAACUGUAUGUAUUAUCAGACCCUGUAACUUUUAUGGCUCUAUAAUGCAGUCUUUCAAUUUUUGUCCACCCUUUUUGGCUAGGCAGACUGCAUUUCGGGAUCCUAGCCAUGCAGCACAAUGAAAUUACUGGUUAACUCAUCCCUGUAAUAAGCUGUACUUACAAGUCCUGUCUGUGGAAUAUGCGGAAGGGAUGGGCUAGAGAGCUGGAAAUAGGACUUCACUGCAUACAGAGAACCACAACAACGAGCACAAUGUUGCUGCUUAGGCAUUUAAGCUCUGUAGCAUGCACACAAAAUGAAAAACAGAUAAAGAUAACCAUCUUUUGAUAAAGAUGGUUCCCACCAAAACAUGCAGUGAAUUAUCUGUGGGGAUCUUUUCCAAAAAGGAAUAUCGAGGCUAAACAUGUGUUUUCAGAUAAAAGAUGUAAUUGUAAAGUAUUACAUUAAAAAUAAAAUCAGUGAAUGAGUAAA